rnacentral:rRNA from 1 species
ACGGGAGGCAGCAGUGGGGGAUAUUGCACAAUGGGCGAAAGCCUGAUGCAGCGACGCCGCGUGAGGGCAGACGGUUUUCGGAUUGUAAACCUCUGUCUUCGGGGACGAAAAUGACGGUACCCGAGGAGGAAGCCACGGCUAACUACGUGCCAGCAGCCGCGGUAAUACGUAGGUGGCAAGCGUUGUCCGGAAUUACUGGGUGUAAAGGGAGAGUAGGCGGGAUUGCAAGUCCGUUGUUAAAUCUAUCGGCUCAACCGAUAGCUGCGGCGGAAACUGUAGUUCUUGAGUGAAGUAGAGGCAGGCGGAAUUCCUAGUGUAGCGGUGAAAUGCGUAGAUAUUAGGAGGAACACCAGUGGCGAAGGCGGCUUACUGGACUGUAACUGACGUUGAGGCUCGAAGGCGUGGGGAGCAAACAGGAUUAGAUACCCUGGUA